ACAACCGGACCGCUUUAGUGAAUUUGUUAGAACACUUUAUUUUAUUUUCACAUUCAAAAUUCGAAAAUCCCCCUAAUUUAUUAUGUUUUAUACAUUGCACAAUAUUGUCUUGUUAAAUAGCAGUCCAUGUGGAUUCUAUCUUUUUUAUUACUGCGACAUUAUCGGUUCAUUUAUCAAGAAAUCAUCAAGUUUUUGGUGUUGUUGUCGGGGACUGUUGAUAUUUUCAAUAAGGUGACGCUUGUGCAACGUUUAGUUUUUUUUUCAAUUGUAAAUAUUUUAUUUUUGUUUCUCUUAAUUUUUAUUUUUUAUUACUUUUUCUUUUUAGUUUUAUUUUUGUUAAUUUUUUUUAUCUAGUGCAGUUCUACUAAGGUAUUUUUCUUUCUGUUUGGAUGCAAGGUCAAGACAAUCAUGCAAGAGGAACU
rnacentral:lncRNA from 1 species